GUGAAUCAUCGAAUCUUUGAACGCAAAUUGCACUCCCUGGUAUUCCGGGGAGUAUGCCUGUUUGAGGGUCGUUAGAAUAUAAAAUCGGGGCGUCGCUCUUUUUUUUAGUGUGAUCGCUGCGGGAUUGAGCCGUCUAUCAAAUGUUAAUUCAUGUCAAAUUGUCUUAGAAUUCAUUCAUCCGGUACGUUUAAAACGUAUUUAACAUCAAUUUUGUACAAGAAUGCGCGAUUACUUACCAUCU
rnacentral:misc_RNA from 1 species